GCCUGGCGGUGUUUGUGGCUCGCAGUAUAGCGCGCCGCCAUUAAGCGAUCACGGGGUUUGCAACGUAGGUCGUAGAAUCAUGGAAUCACAAGGUUGGAAAGGACCUACAAGAUCAUCUAGUCCCACCGUCGUCCCAUCACCACUGCUACCACAAGCUAUUAAACCUAUCUCGUAGCUCCUCAUCCAGGCACCUCUUGAACACUGCAAGGGACAGCGACUCCAUCACCUCCCUGGGCAGGCCAUUCCAGUGCCUGACCACUCUCUGAGAGAAAAAAAUUUUUCCUUAUGUCUAACCUAAACCUCCUCUGGUACAACUUGUGGCCAUUUCCUCGGGUCCUGUUCGUUGCCUGUGAGAAAAUGCAAAACCCCUUCUCAUCACAGCCUCCCUUCAGGAAGUUAUAAAGUGCAAUGAGGUCUCUGAAUCUCCACUUUUCCACACAGAACAAUCCCAGCUCCCUCAGCCACUCCUCACAAGUCUUGUGCUCCAGACCCCUUGCCAGUUUUGUUGCCUUUCUCUGGACACGUUUCAGGGCCUCAACGUCUUUCUUGUAGUGAGGGGCUCAAAACUGAACAUGGUACCUGAGGUUGCCAAACAGGCCCCUUGCUGCAAAUGUAGCUCCUCGCCCAGCCUGCCUUGGCAAGGGCCACCCAGCUAACAUGAAGCGAUAUUUUUGCAGUACUUUAGUCAUUAUCCUUGUAGGAGAAGAAUAAAUACAUGGAUAUGAACAGUCACAAAAACAGCGCAGUAUAAGUAAUGUGAAGAAUAGGCACUGAAUGCAAUACUGUUCACCACAUCGAGGCAGAGACAUUUCUUCUCACAUCUGGAUACAGUACUCCAGGUGAGGCCUCACCAGUGCAGAGCAGAGGGGCAGAAUCUCUCAACCUGCUGGCCACAAUUCUUUUGAUGCAGCCCAGGAUAUGGUUGGCUUUCUGGGCUGCGAGGGCAUAUUGCUGACUCAUGUCCAGAUUACCAUCCACCAGUACCCCCAGGUCCUUUUAGCAGGACUGGGGAGACAAAUGACUGUCAGACAAAUACAAGAGUAGUAAUGGUAAAAAGAUGCUGUGCUGUAAGUGGGUGGGAAAGAGAAUUAGCAGAGCUUGUUAAGUACACCUGAAAGUAAAAAAAAAAAAAAAAAAAAAAAAAAAAAAAAAAAAAAAAAAAAAAACUAGAGGGGCGUAUCUCAUGAAGAUGGGCCAGAUGCUUGUAAGUCAGAUUACUGGCUAUCACAGAACCACGUUUUGUUUUUAAAGACAUCUAAUUUGUGGAUUACUUCAGCAGUGAUGUUGAAUCUGACACGGACUUUUUUGCUUCAGUUUAAGCCAGUCAUUGCAUUUCCAGUUUCUCCAUAACUACAUAUAUUUAGCUCCAUAUAUUCUCUGUCCCAGUGGACAGCUAAGCACCAUGCAAAUGUUCAUUCACAACCCUUCCUCACACGCCCUUUCUUCCUUCUUUAGGAAAAGAACUGGAAAAAAAGUGUGAGAACUCACAGGUUGAGGUAGGGACAGAGUAGGUAAGAAGAAAUGGAAAAUAAAAAACACCCCCAUCCCAUCAAAGAGGCUACAAAACAACAACAAAAAAAGCCCCAACAACUGAUGCAGAAUACUAUUGCUUACCUCUGGUGGGAUGAUGCCCAGCCAGUCUCCAAGCAAAUAUUCCAGCCAAUUUUCCCCAGUUUCACGGUUGAACUUGAUGUGGUAUAGAUAUGGAAAAUCCCUUUUUCCAGUUUGUGCCAGCAGUCCUGGCUGUGUCCCGUCCAAGCUGCCUGCACACCUCCAUCCUCCUCACUGGCAUAACAGCAUGAGAAACUGAAAAGUCCUUGGCUUUUUGUAUGCACUGUUUAACAAUAACAACUAAAAAUAGUGGUGUGCUAGAGCCACUAUUUUCAUCAGAAAUCUGAAACACAGAACAUGCCAGCUACUAUCUCAGCCAAAACAAGGGUGCUCAAACAAGUAUUUAGUACAUUUUGCAAAUAGUGUUUUUGUGUUGUGAAGCAUACUGUUUUCUAUUAGAAAAGUUUUCCCCAGCAAGAAAAAAAAAAAAACACCAAAAAAAGACAAAACAAGAAACAUUCAAGGUUUACUCUGGUUUUGUAAGCUAAAUUGAACUUAGCUUGUGCCAGAAACCCGCCACACUGGUACUAAAGGGGAUGGAGUUGCCUGGGCACAGGAGUGGCAGGAAGCAGAGCACAUGUUUUGACUGUCAGUCAUCUCUUGGAGCCUCAUCCCUCAUCUGCAGUCUCUCACCUCUACAUUUCACUGUUGCAUCACUCCCAGCUUCAAAAGUUGCUAAGAGGUAUUGAAAAUGUUGCUGCUGUCCAUGUGAAUGAAAGAUUGCAUCACUUCCAAAUAAGUCAAACCUGUGAGCUAGAUAUCUUACAGUGAGAUUUUCCUGAAGAAGUUGCAGCUGACUGAUGCACUUCUGUGCAGACAGCUUGGCCCAGUCAAAGUUCUAGAUGCUCACAACUUUUAAUAAUUAUUUUGUUUUGAUUGAGAUAUUCAAGCAUGAAUUUAUCUGUGGAGAGCAAUCUUAUGAAAAUCCCCAGGUGCUGAAAAUAAAGUGAUUUAGACCUGGACACAGAGGUAUAUGGUAUAACACAGAGUUAGCCCUUUAUCGGUUAAACUUUUACAUCUGGUAACCUACUAGGAAAAUGCAUGCAAAACUUACCACACUGUAAGCUGUGCCUUGAAGUGGAAGAGGAGUGGGACAAAACCCUGAAUGUCUUAGGAGCUGCAAACACACACUGCUAACCACAAAUCCAUAAGUUACAGCUUGAUUUGUGUUCAACAGAUGGCAGCAGGUUCAAAAGAAUUGCUGAAAAGCUGUAACUGUCAGUGAAAUCAAGACCUAAAAACAUUAUUAUGCAGCAAAAUAAAAGUGUGAUAACAAUGUGAUUACAAAUUUAGCUAGUCUGGGAAAGGACAACAGUGGGGGAAAAAUGUCAGCACAGGCUUCAGCUUCAUCUGGCAAUUAGAGACAUACUUUGCCUGCACUUUCAGGCUCAUAUGUUCCUGUUGAUGUGUCUGCCAUUCUCUAGGCUCAUCUGAUUAAAGCUAGCAAUUCAAUGCCUCCCUGUGCCACCUCCAAGUCUUUGUUCUCUAUGUCAGCAGUGUCUAAGGGAAUAUUUUAGAAUAGGCUGCAGUCUUUGGAAGCCUUUCUUAUUCUCCCUCACUUUCACUUGAAUAUUUUCUCUGAAACAUGGGGACUGUAAAAGUGAGGUAAGCAAAAUGUAUUUUGCUAUCAAUCAGCAUUAUUUUAACAAAUCAUUAGAUGGCCACUAUAUUUUAUCUUCUCUUGAGAGUCGUCUCAGUUAGGCUCAGGCAUGCAGCAUGCUUAUAAUUCUUAUAAAGCUGAUAAUUUAAAAAAUAAAGGGCCUGAGGAAAAAUAUCAUAAAUGCAAAGCAUAACCCUUUCCAUUGAUAAAGGUGGAGUUAGAAGAAGUUGUCUUUUCAGGGACUCAUAUCUUUGAUCUUCACAGUAUAAAGGUCCUGAAAGUUUGUUGGUACCACUGUCACAGAAUCAAUGGAUCACAGAAUGGCUGAGGCUGAAAGGGAUUUUUUGAAAUCAUCUUGAGAUCAAUGCUCUUCUGUCAAGCAGAGCCACCUAAAGCAAGUUACACUGGACUGUCCAUCUGGGUUUUGAGUAUCUCCAAAGAUGGAGAUGCUGCAACCUCUCUGAGCAACCUGUGCCAGUUCGACCACCAUCACAGUAAUAGGCUGUUUUCUCAUGCUCCAUUGGAAUCCAAUAUGUUUUAGUUUGUGCCCACUUCCUCUUGUUCCAUCAGUAAGAACUACCGAGAAGAGUCUGCCUCCUUCUUCUUUAUGUUCUCUCAUUUAUUUAUACACACUGUAAAGAUCCCCCACUGAACCUUCUAUUUGCAGGCUGAACAGGCAUAGCCCUCUCAGCCUCUCCUUUUACAAAAGAUACUGCAAUCUCCAUAUCAUAUUCAUGCCCCUUUGUAGGAGUUGCUUCAGUAUGUCCAUGUCUCUCUUGUGCUGGGGAGCUGAGAACAGGUCCAGCUCUCCAGGUGUGUUUCACCAGUGCUGAGCAGAGGUGAAGGAUCACCUCCCUCCACCUGGAGCAAUGUGCUGUUAGCUGUUGGCCUUCUUUGCCUGGAGUGCAAACUGCAGGCUCAUUGUCAAUUUGGCAUCCACUAGUACCCCCUGGCUGUUCUUGGUAGAGCUACUUUUUGGCCCUUUCAACUCCAGGAAUGUACUGAUGCAUGGGGUUAUUUCUCCCCAGAUGCAAAGCAACUCAAUUAUUUGUAGAACAAUUCAAUUCAUUGAAUUUCAGGAGGUUCCCCUGAGACCAUUUCUCCAGCUCAGAUGACAGUACAGCAUCUGCAGUGUUAGUCUCUCUUCAGAGUUCUGUAUUUUCCACAGGCUUGGUGAGGAUGCACUGCAUACCAGUGUUCAGAUUACGUGUGAAAAUGGUAAGUACAUUUAGUCCCAGUGUCAACCCUUAGGGCACACCACUACAGACUGGCCUCCGACUGGAAUUUGUGCCCUUAAUCACAGUCCUAGAUCUGGGUAAGAGACUGCUAUACAGGGAGAUCCUUCUAGCAGAAGCUUACACAGUGUAGUGUAAAUGGCAAAAUAAUUUGCUUGCUGGUACAGCCUGUAGUCAUUCUUAACCUGAACUACAUGAUACUGGCCAGAGGAUUUGUCAAUCUGCAGAGCAGAGGUUUUUCUUCUGGCAUAAGUGUGUCGACCAAAGGUGUGAUUUUUCCAUGGCACUCUGAAGUGUAAACCAAGCUUAAUGUGCGAAGGGGUAAUGAAGCCUGGUUGUUACGCUAUUUCAUGGCAGGCAUUCCAGGAUAUGUGCUCACCCCAUAAAACAGAUGUCUCCUACUCUCAGAGCAGCUAGGGGAUUUUGACGAGAUUGCUGAUGUUACGGAAAAUAUUAAGCAAUAAUCCCUUCCAUCAACCUAAUUCCCAGUUCCUCAGCUGGCUAAAAAUGUUGCAACUGUUUUAUUACAGUGGAUAGUUUUACAACACCCACAUGUUUUUUAGUUCCAAGGUUGACUGAAUUUCUGAACAUCAUCAUAAAUUAGAAGUACAGAACUUGACAAGUUGUUCAUUGUGAGAAUUUCUUGUUUAAAGAAGUACAUAAAUAGUAUUGACUUUACUAAUUUACUGUUUGUAAGAAAUAUUACUUUAUAAAAGGAAUUAAAUGAAAUGCUUUCAUUAUAUACAGCCUACGUAUGUACAGCUAGACAUACAUAUCUGUUUGUAUGUGAAUAUGUAAAUAUGAGGGACUGUAUACUAGUUCACAGGAACUGACAUAUUUCUUUUGACUUCAGAAACAGAAAAUUACUGUGGAUCAGGAAAAAACAUGGAUCAUCUUACACCAAGAUUUUCUCAAGAUGGUCAUCCAUAAUAACUGGGCUGUAAAAUUUAAAUCAUGUACUCUGUGUAGCCUGAAGUACUGGCCUUCAUCAGAGUCAGUCCCUCCUGCAUUACCUGGUGGUGUUUAGUACUUAUAACAUCAGACUAGUUAUGUAAGAUCCACAUGUUAUCAUUAGGUAUUUAAGUUGAAAAUGUUUGUUUAUGUUUUAAAGUGCUUUUGUGUCAUUAGUGAGACACUACAGGCAGAUGAAGAAUAAUGUUAUGUAAUACUGUUCUUUUAUUAUUAUUAUUAUUAUUUUUUAUCAUUUCCUAUGUUUUUCCUCCAGAAAACACUUCUGGAGCAUUCAUAAUCCACAUCUGCCGAACAGGAGGGCCCAGAAAAUCAUUCUGCUCUCAAGCAGUAUCUCCUGUGUCAAUACAUCACUGGAGUGAGUGAACAGAGCUGUGUUGGAUGUGGUCUCCACUGGCUCAUGUGAAGACCUGCAUUUUCACCUGUGGCACCAGCACCUGUGGAGGCACAGCAUCUCUUCCAUGCCCCUGUAGCUGCAGCUUCUUUCUCCAGCAGUUUUCAAUGAGAAGGGAAGCACUUCCACUGGAAGUGACUUUGAGGCCAGAUGCCUGAUGGUCUGCUUGUGCUUGAUGGGCAUGUGCAGGAUUUUCAGGUACCUUGAAACACAUUUGGAACAAGCAGUGCAUCCCUGCCUAAGCCACCGAAAGCCUGAAAAUCUAAUAUCAAUAUCCAAAGUCCUGGGAAUCUCCCUAGAAAAGACCUGAGGGUGUAAAAUGGGAUCUACCUUUGGAAAAUUGAAAAGCUCUGUUGGGAGGUUACAAAAAGCUGUAAAGGGAACUACUGGAUACAGACACAUUUGGACUAGUUUCUCUUGCUAGUCUGUGUAUCCUUAAGGGAGCAGUUGGCACGAGGAAGUUUAGUUUUAGCUCCAGUCAGCUUUAAUUGCAGUUAGGGAAGUUAGGCAGUUAGCAUUGUUAUGGGAUGUUUUCCAAUUAGUAGACACGUGUUAUCUCUGUAUGGAAAAGGUCUGCCCUCCUACUGAAGGAAGCAGAACAACACUUAUGCAUGAGAGUAAAGCAAAUUCUGCUCUGUUUUUCACUCUCCAUCCCAAAUAGACCUUUUAAAUAACUUGUAUUAUCUUUUCACACGAGUCAGGUUAUUUGCACUUAGGCAAAUUUAAAAGGCCCCUUGAGUAUAUGAGAAACGUAAGAAGAGGUAAAUAUUUCUGAAAUGGGUAAACAAACAAAGUGGAAAGUCUUAAGCCAAAAGCUUUAGAUUGCCUUCUUGCUGUUGUGUCAUUAGAUAAAUGGAUUAUAGAUUAUUUGGAAAGAAACAGUGGGGUUUUGUCUGGACAUUUUGAUAUCUUUUGUUAUUUAUAGUUUCCAAGAAAGCCUGUAUGCAGUCUGAUUGCCAAACUUGGAUAUGUAAAUUGUUACACAUGAUGCUGCCUGUUUGUUUGAUGAAUGUAGCAGUACAUUUGCCCUUGGCCUCAAGCAUAUCAUUCUGCCUUUGUCAAUUUCUUUGAAAUAAGUACAGCAAGCUAAUGCUGUAAAUAAGUUGGAAUGACUUAAGGCUUCUUCAUGGCAUAGAUGAAAUUGAACUUUGCUUCUCUACUUUGUGGGAGCAAAAUAGCUCUUUGGGGACAAGCAUAUAUGAUUUUGUGAAAGAGGUAUAGCUGGUGCUGAGAAAGGAAAUGCGGGUAGGAGAAGAAAACUGGGAGGAAUCAGUUGGAAGUAGGAGAAAGUAGCACAGAAGAGUCCCUGGUGGCUCAGGGACCUCUUGGAGGUGGAAGGAGGGACAAGUGACAUUUCAGUACAAUUUCUUGAGGAAUACAACCAAAAUUACUCAGAGUUGCAUCUGAGAGAACAAAGAGAUUUCCAAGGCCCUGUGAGAAUGGGCCCUCAGGCAGUAAGGACGGGGGGUUGCCACAGCUCCCUUUCCUCUGGUUAGCAGAGGUUAGCGUGUUAGUAGCUGGUGCUGGCAGCUGGGUGAUGGUGAAGUGAGGGCUGCCUGUAGUAGCCUUUUUUCUGAUGAGCCUUCCUCACUGGCAUGUACUGCAUGUUGCUAACUUUUGCACCAUCAGAUGCUGCACUGAUCUUUUUGCUCAGCUGCUGAUUUGUAUCUCCUCAAGUCUUUCAUGCCCACUGAGCAUCUUCACCAGCAGUGAGAGUUGGUGGAUUGAGCAGAACAGUUCUGUUGCCCUUGAAACAUCUGGUCUGCAGGAUCUGGCACAUGCUGGCACAACACUGGAUUUUCUGGUGUCAGUUCUUACUGCUUGGAUGGAGGCAGGUGCCAAAAGCCACUUGAUGCUUUGGCCAAAGCUAUUUAUUUUUAAAGAUAUUUUGUCAGUCCUUCAUAUUCCCUCUGUCUUCCCCCAAUUUGCAAUUUCAGACUGCUGCCUACUUGCCUGAAGCUUUUCCUGAUGCAUUUAGCUUGUAAAAAAUCUCCAACUCAGAGAAAGCAUAUGAGGUUGAUUAUAAUAUCCAGUCAUUAACAAAGAGUCCCCCCCCCAAAAAACAAAUGUACAUUGCCCCAAACAAAGUUUGCUCUGACUGUGCUUAGGAAGAGAACUACCUUCAAAUUACUAAGAAUACAACACAGAAGUCUGGAAUGUAUAGAAAUACUGAAUAUACAACCCUGAAUAUAGAUCUGGAAGCUAUGUGAAAUACAAUCAUGUUCUGAUACCCUUUAAGCAUGUUGGAUAGUAAUCUGCAGUAGUUUCAUUAUGUUUAUAUGACCAUGUGGAGUAAAUACGAAAAUGAAGUUGUGCCAUUUGGCUCUACGUGGUAUUUCCCUGAAAUUUCAAUAGCUGGAGAAUUAAUGAGAAACAGGUUUGGAUCAGCUCUCUCGCAGGUUACCAGCAUGUUUGUCCUUCCUAUGCGUGGGAUUUGCCUGUGUAUCGGUGUGUUGGACUGUGUACACGAGGUGGCGACAGCUCUUCUUUGUGCUGGGCCACGAGGGGGACCCAGAGGCAUAGGCCAGUCAAAGCCGUUAGCUUCCAGCCUGGAUUUUCUGAAAGGAGCUUUUUUGUCUCCUAGCUUUAGUUUUCAGGAAUCUUUUCACUACUCACCUCCAUGCUUUCUGUGGGAAAAUCUGAGAAGGGCUCUUACCAAACAAAUUGCUUUAGGUAGUAAAUGAUUGCUGAGCAGACGGAGAAAGACUGUAUCUUCUAGGGCAAUAGUUAUAAAUCAUGUGAAGACAUGAGGAGGAGAGCAUCUGCCCUGAUGUAUUGUACUGUGGGUGCAUACAAGAAAAAUAUUUUUAAAAAAGUCAGCAUCUGGAAUUUUCCUUUUAUUAGCAUUUUUGAACAUUUAGCCCUGCAGACAAAUGUAGAUGUGAUGAUACAGUUCCACAAAUUAGAGGAAAACCUUAUUAAAAAUGAAGUUGCUCCACAAAUAUAAUAAAUUGGAGACUUUCUGUAGUAGUCAGCUUUGCUGCUGCUGCUGUUACUCCAACAGCCAUUCUGUUUCUAAAAUGCCACUGCAUGUGGAAACAGGACAUUUCUUCCACAGCAAUAGAAAACAUCCCUUGAUAUCUCCUGUUUUGGUAUGGAAAUAACAGCUCUAUCUGCAUAUGGACUGACUCAGCAGCUUCAUUAAGUAGUCCUGAGAAAUACCUUUCCUGGUGAGGAGAUCUCACAUGCCUUCACAGUGGGCUGCUUCCCCUUCUUCUAUUGCACAUGGUCAGCAGACACAGGGUAGGGUUACGUCCGUUGCAUUGAGUCUGUCCUUCUGCUGCCCACUUAUGCUGUUUCAGUCAAUGUAAAUGAUAGCUAUGUUUCUAUCAUUACAAGAGUUAUGUAUACACAAGAGUUAUAUUAUAGAGCUCCCCACUAGGUAGGGGAGCCAGGAAUUAUUUUACUGCAGAGACAGUUUCUUGUUAUUCAAUGGAAAACUUAUGUUGGUGAGUGACAGUGUCAUAAUUUGGCCAAAGACUAAAUUAAGCAAUGCUGUGUUGCAUCUAUACAGCACCCUCAGACUGAGAUCAAGUUUAAUUACAAUUGCUGUUAAACCCACUCAGUUUGUUCUUGGAGUGUCACCCCUAAUUCAGUGACAGGGAGGAGGGGUCCUUGGCGCUGAGUCAGGAGCAGGGCCAAGAGUGGCCUGGGCCUGGUCUAGGAAGAGACCAUGGUCUCACCCUCCUGCUGUCAACUCACAGUCCACCUCUGCAGGCCUGGCAGCACUGCAGAGCUGCUCUUUGGUCACACACCUGCCAGAGAGGCCCUGCAGGGAUUUCCCGAGAUCUUGCAUGCAGGGCAGGCCGUGCAGAAUUCUGUCUGCUGCAAGGAGCUAACUUUUAUUUCCACCUCUGUGUUGUGUACUGGGAAAAUAGAGUAAAAAGUGCAGUGACAAACUUAUAUUAAAGAUGGUUCCCUUCCCUCUCUGCUUUUUCUGGCAGCAGCAGAACAUGCACCAACAACACACCUUCCAUUACUAAUAUUUUGAAACCCAGAGCAGGAGAGUGCCUCAAACCGCAGCCUUAUAGCGUAAUGAAGAAUACACACAGCUGCAGUAACAACCACAUAAUUAUUUAAUUAGUUUUUGACAGCUUCAAAUUGCACAGGCAAAGGAAUGCAUGAACCACACAUGGAAACCUGCCAGCAAAGGUUUUACAUGUACGCAGAUGGUUUUAGCUAUUGUAAGCGCAAAGCCAGGUUGUUGUACAUUUACUGCAGAACCUAACAGCACAUCAUGCACUGCAGAUUUAUACCAGGGGAAUAAAAAUGCUAUGUGUAAUUAUUUCUUCCCCUUUAUGCCGUAGUGUUUCUUUCAUUGUAUUUAACUUUCCGUAGCUGAGUCCUGUGAGACCAAAGAUGGGAAUAUUUUAGCAUUAACUUAAGUAAUCUGUAAAGUAACAGCUUCUUUGGGCUUUUGGAAUAAGCAGCCAUAAUAUGACUAAUUAACAUUAUAUAUCACUUUCUAUUUUAAAGUCCUCUUAUGGAUAUGAAUUAACACCUCUGUUAAGAGGUUAACUUUUGGUAUCUUUAUUUUGAAAAAGAGAAACCUGAAGCUCAGAGGAGUAUAAUAACUUGCCAGAGGCUCAAGCGUGAUUCAGGGACAAAAGAGACAGCAAACUAAGAAUUUUCUUAGUUCUCAUUUAGCUCUGUGGAGAGCUAGAACAAGAAAGUUCAAUAUAGAAAUAAAGGAAAAAGAAUUGCCUGUCACAGAACUGAUGGGGAGGGAACUGGCACUAGUAUCUAUCCGUCUUUGGAAAAUAGAUUAUUCCAGAGGGGAAGAUAAUAAUUUAGGAGCGAAGCAAAGCCUAAUGUACUGUAAAUAUUUGCUCUUCUGCUGCUGCAGAGCCAACACCCAUCCCUCAUGUCACUCCGAAGUGUUUAUAAUUUCCAUGUGUUGCAAGCUCCAUGAUUUUGUAUUGGAGCGGAAGUGAUUUCUUGUGAGUGCACCUAAUUAAGGCUAACAGUUUAAAUAAAACAUGGAUUAAUUCAAAACUUUACUCUGAGCUCUAAAUGAACACAAACUUUGUCUGAGGCUUAAAAAGUUAAGUCCUCUCUUUUCCCACAUAAUUUCAGUUUUCAUAUUUUCCAGUCUUUGCUUUUUAUGGUUCUGGCUGGGAUAGGAAAUGCUAAAAGCCCACAAGAAAAGGUUAUUCCCAGAGAGCUAUGUAAGAUAUUCACGACAAAACCCUAAAGCAUGUGGAACACAUGUGGUUUCAAGUUGCACAAGAAAGUCAAAAUCCAGACUCUGUUGAAGUUUAUGACGUGGUUUGAAUGAAACUAGUCCCAUUUUCAAACAAAUCUGGUCAGCUUCCUGGUUUUGAGAUGGAACCAUCCAAAAUCACAGUUUAGCAAGGCCUGGGGAGAAAACUCAGUGGUGCCCAGCAGGUGAGAGAUGGGCACUGGGAGGAGCAUUGGAGCUGAAAAAGUGAGCACAGUGCUGAUGGGUCUCCUAAUGCAGAGCACUGUAGUGAGAAGUUGUAUUGAGGUCAGUGAUGGGACACACCUCUGAAAUGCAGAUAACAUGCGCUGCUGGAGAGGCUGGGGGGCUCCCAUCAUGGCCCUCAGAGAGCAUUCCACUCCUCCUUUACAGAUGCUCCCAGUACACACUGGAGAAUAAAAGUUAGAAGGCGACAAAUACUUCAGGACUGCACUCACACUAUGUUGAGUUCUGUAGAAUUUUUGCUGACAACCUUGAAGCCAGAGGGAAACCACAGCUUUGUUUUACUUAAAAAGGUCUCUGACUAAGAAACUGAAAGACUGUUAAGAAACUGUUAGCAUCUGUGAUGAUACCACGUCCAAAGAAAUCUUUGAAAAGGCCAAAUCAUGUGAAGGAUAUUUGCUUUAUUGUCCUGCAGUAAUACUCUGGAAAUUACCAUUAAAGGAAUAUUUUGCUGAGAAAAUAAAAGCUGCUUUCUCCUGAGGCCAAAAUUUAAGCAAAGAAGACAGCAGAUGUUUUCUGAGCAUGUGACCCCUUGAAGUUCUGAGAGGAAGUACAUUACAUUUUUCAGCUGGAAAAGAGGACCCAGAUCUCUCAGUCCUGGGCUCUGAGCCAAGAAGCACUGCUUUAGCCUUUCCCACAUUCAGCAACUGCUUGCAUUUCAAUAGCACAGUCUGGAUACUGUCAAAAACUGCUCUGGAGGUGGAUCUGGUCCUUAUCUACAGCUACAUUACUGACAUGUAUAUCAGUGCUUUCAAUACAUUUACAGUCAAAUGGCUUUAAAGACUGUGGAAACUUGUAUAUACAUCUUUUAACAAGAAAAAAACAGAAGUCCUUACAGUCAGUAAUGUUGGAGUCAGUGUACUCUGUCUGUAGACCCUUAGCUGCAGGUCUUUUGAAAACUGUUCUGAAAGAAAGGGCUGUUUCUUUUGUACACAUGUAAAUGUUUUGCAAACAAAGAGCAUCAGCAAAGUUAAAAUGCACUGCGUCCUCAUACAUUGAACUUCAAAUGAGUUUAAAUGAAGUUAAGAUAGAUUGGCCUCAGAUGUUGUUCAAACCCACUUGUAAAGCUCCAGUGAGUUAAGUUUCCUUGCUAUUGAUCAUAUGGAUGGUACAGAGUAACUGUGACUCCUGUAGUGAGCAACGGCUAUAUUUUUUAACAGAAGGAGAAAUGGACAGCCAUGAUUAAAAGUUUAAGUGAGAGAAAUCCACUUCAGAGUGAAAUUUCAUAUUUUUUGAAGUCAGAAGUAAUCUUGCCAUUGGUAUCACUGGAGCUGGCAUCAGCACUGAAACUGCUCAUUCAUUUUCAUGUAUGCUGAAAUCCGAGAGAAUAAAGUAGAUUUUCCUUCUUGCUAUACCCACAGUAUGGGCCUUUGAUGAGAGAUCUGUUGAAUGAGAAUGAUUCCACUCAUUUAACAAUUAAAAAGUCUCUAAAACAG